AAGCCCACCCCGAGAUAAGGCAUCCCCGGGCCGCAAGGCCCCUGAAGGCCCCUCGAAGACGACGAGGUUGAUAGGCCGGGUGUGGAAGCGCCGUAAGGCGUGGAGCUAACCGGUACUAAAUGGCCGUGAGGCUUGACCAUAAUUCUUCG
rnacentral:rRNA from 1 species